CUUAAUGCCAUACUACCCUGUACGUACCCGAUCUCAUCAGACCUCAGAAGCUAAGCAGAGUAGUGCUUGGCUAGCACUUAGAUGGGGAAAUGAUUAAGUAAUCGAUGGCAUACGGCCAUUAAGA
ensembl:rRNA 5S_rRNA 5S ribosomal RNA